rnacentral:siRNA from 1 species
AAUGGUUGACCAAAAGUUCAUUAA